GCCUCCUUAGCUCAGUCGGUCAGAGCGACGCACUCGUAAUGCGUAGGUCAUCGGUUCGAUUCCGAUAGGAGGCU
rnacentral:tRNA from 2 species